UGCGCAGGCGCCGGGUCGGGAGCUGGCAGCGGGGAGGAGGACCGAGGAAGGGCCUCACGGCGGCCAUGUUGGCUCGCUCUGAGAAAACACGUCAGGUAGUGGGGGGCAGCCUCGUCUCUGCCCAUUAAAAGCCGUAUUUGUGAACGCCAGAAACAAGAACAGCGAGGGAAGCAGGGUGCAAAAUAGCCUGCGCCCGGAUUGUAACUACUAAAAGGAUGCUUAAAAAAAUUACCUGCGUCAAAUAGCCCCACGUAGUAGUUGUCUUGAUUUGGGCGUUCGCUAAGGGUCUGAGACGUAUUUAAACCUAGUUAAGUCAUUCUUGGCUGGGACCCACACGCACUGACGUUGGUUUGGAAAGAUUUUCCGAAAGUUUGAAUUAAAAGUUUAAUGAGUGAGCAGGAGCUGGACUCAGGAAGUCAGACGACGUUCCCUCCCUGGGGGGCCUGAGUGUUCAGGCCGAAUAACUGCGCCCGGAGGCGCGGAGGGCGCGAGGACAAGACGAGCGUCGGGGAACAGCCUCUGAACGACGACAGUCGUCCGCCUGCGGUUUGACGGAACGAGGUGCCGAUCCCGACCCCCGCGCCCCGCCCGCCUCCGUUUUGUCACUUGAAAAACAUCCUCACUCGUUCCAGACUUAGUCGGAAGCACAUAAAAUUAUCACCUAUUACGAUAAAGCAUAAUUUUACUGGUCAUGUUUGCACAGGAGAACAACGCAGAUAACCUGCCCUGUACAGAUGCACAACGAUUGUGGGGUAACGUGAUGAGGAAAACACGUUCCCAAAAUUCCUAUGGUGGUUUGCAUUUCUUAAGCCCCUUAAAGGAUUUGAAAGUGCUUGAAACCAUUAAUACCUAAAUCCUUACAUCGAGGCCAGGACCACUAAAUAUAAGGUAAAAAGGGAGAAAUUCGUCACAGUAACCCGGGAAAUGGAUAGCUGUUCAGGAUGCAGGUAGCAGCACGUUUAAUUAAGCAAACCUACGGAAUCCCGGUCUCAGGAGGACGAAGCUACUGACCGUCACCGCGCAGCCCUGUGCAUAGGUUCUCACAGACCCUAACUACGGUGCACGAGAUGGGCAUCGCGCGUAUUCUGCUGUUACAGGUAAAGGCCGCGGUGGACGACUGUGUGCAGAGCAAUUUAGGGGGUUUAAAUAAUUUCUUUAGGAGAGAUCCCUACACUAAAAUUACAGGAUGAGCGACAAUGAACGUUGAAAAAAACGUUGUACAUAUUGCCAAAAUUGCUUUCCAGACUGGUUUUAAAAUUAGCAAAGCCCAAAUCCAGCCAAUCGUUAACUUGGGAUAUACCCAAAGUCUCAUUUAUGAAAUCAACUAUUUUAGUGUGUCCUUCUGUGCGUGUUAUGGGCUGUUUGGAGGGCUAUAACCCCCCAAAUUCAUGUGUAAGUACUAACUCCCACUAGCUCAGAAUGUGACUUUGUAAAUAGGGCCUUAACAGAGAGAAUUAGAUUAAAUGUGGUAAUUAGGGUGGGCCCUAAUCCAGUAACUGGUGUUUCUUUAUAAAAAGGGAUUAAGAUACAGACAUGUACAGAGCAAAGACCAUUUAAAGACAGAAGAUGGUCAUCCGCAAGCCAAGGAGCGAGGUCUCUAAGUAAACAACCCUGCGCACACCUUGAUUUCCCAGCUUCCGGUCUCGAGAAGUGUGAAGGAAUUUCCUGUUGUAUAAACCACCCAGUGUCUGACUGCGCUCCUGCAGAGCAGGCAGUGUCCAAAGCACCUUUGUAUCCAAGCCUGGAAGAACCUCAAUAAAUUAAUUACUAUCUGCAAAGCACAAUAAAGCAAGGUAUGCCUGGA